GUCUCCGUGGCAUAGUCGGGAGAAUACCCGACUAUAGAUCGGUAGGAUUCGGGUUCGAGCCUCGGUGAAGGUA